GACAGGGGAUGCAAGCGUUAUCCGGAAUGAUUGGGCGUAAAGCGUCUGUAGGUGGCUUUUUAAGUCUGCUGUCAAAUCCCAGGGCUUAACCCUGGACAGGCGGUGGAAACUACCAAGCUGGAGUACGGUAGGGGCAGAGGGGAUUUUCGGUGGAGCGGUGAAAUGCGUAGAGAUCGGGAGGAACACCGGUGGCGAAAGCGGCGCGCUGG
rnacentral:rRNA from 1 species